rnacentral:tRNA from 1 species
GGUCUUAUAUUCAUAUAAUGAUAUUAGAAUGCAAUUCUAAAGGUGUAAUUUACUAAGACUU